rnacentral:rRNA from 1 species
AUGAAGCCUAUGGUGAGGUCCAACAGUGGCGGCGGCAGCGACCGAAGGGGUUGGCUAGCGUGGAGGAAGACAAAGUGUGGCAAGAACUCCAACAUGCCCAAGCAGCCUCCCAGUGCCUUCUUUUUGUUUCUAGAGGAUUUUAGUCUGGAGUACAAGUUGGAACACCCGAACGUCAAGGUGUCCUCAGUGAUCAACAAAGCAGGUGGUGAUCGAUGGCGAGCUAUGUCUGAUGCAGAUAAGGCGUCGUAUUGCGUCAUGGCUGAGCACCGUAGAGCAGAGUACGCCAAGGCGAUGGAAGCGUACAAUAACCCAGGGGAACCCGGCCAGCAUGAGGUGGCCCACAAGGUGGAGCCGGCUGAUGUGAUGUACAACCAAGGGGAAGUCGGCCAGCGUGAGGUGGUGGAGCAUGACGCGCUGGCGCCAUCGACGACCACGAGGUCGAGCCUGCGGAUGAGAUGUCGAAUGGUGCCAACCUCAAGCCAUGGAACACUGGCGAUGACCUAG